CCUACGGGGGGCUUCAGUGGGGAAUAUUGGACAAUGGGGGGAACCCUGAUCCAGCCAUGCCGCGUGUGUGAAGAAGGCCCUCGGGUUGUAAAGCACUUUCAGUGAGGAAGAACGCCUGGUGGUUAAUACCCAUCAGGAAAGACAUCACUCACAGAAGAAGCACCGGCUAACUCCGUGCCAGCAGCCGCGGUAAUACGGAGGGUGCGAGCGUUAAUCGGAAUUACUGGGCGUAAAGCGCGCGUAGGUGGCUUGAUAAGCCGGUUGUGAAAGCCCCGGGCUCAACCUGGGAACGGCAUCCGGAACUGUCAAGCUAGAGUGCAGGAGAGGAAGGUAGAAUUCCCGGUGUAGCGGUGAAAUGCGUAGAGAUCGGGAGGAAUACCAGUGGCGAAGGCGGCCUUCUGGACUGACACUGACACUGAGGUGCGAAAGCGUGGGUAGCAAACAGGAUUAGAUACCCGUGUAGUC
rnacentral:rRNA from 1 species